GCGGAAGUGGUGGAAUGGCAGACACGCUAGCUUCAGGAGCUAGUGGGGGCAACCCUAUGAGAGUUCAAGUCUCUCCUUCCGCA
rnacentral:tRNA from 1 species